GACUACUGGGGUAUCUAAUCCCGUUUGCUACCUUAGCUUUCGUGUCUGAGCGUCAGAAGUGGGCCAGGAGACCGCUUUCGCCACUGGUGUUCCUCCGCAUAUCUACGCAUUUCACCACUACACGCGGAAUUCCAUCUCCCUCUACCACUCUCAAGUCUGACAGUUUUGAACGACCUCUCCCAGUUAAGCCGGGAGCUUUCACAUCCAACUUAUCAAACCGCCUACACACGCUUUACGCCCAGUAAAUCCGGAUAACGCUCGCCUCCUACGUUUUACCGCGGCUGCUGGCACGUAGUUAGCCGAGGCUUAUUCUAAAGGUACUGUCCUUCCUCAUCCCUUUAAAAAGCGCUUUACAACCCGAAGGCCGUCAUCGCGCACGCGGCGUUGCUGGUUCCCGGUUUCCCAGAUUACCAAUAUUCCCUACUGCAGCCCCCCGUAGG
rnacentral:rRNA from 1 species